GAGGUCCAGCCUGCCCAGUGACUGUUCAACGGCCGCGGUAUUCUAACCGUGCGAAGGUAGCGUAAUCACUUGUCUCCUAAAUAGAGACCUGUAUGAAAGGCAUCACGAGGGCUUAGCUGUCUCCUGUUUCUGAUCAGUGAAACUAAUCUCCUCGUGACAAAGCGAAGAUCCCCCUAUAAGACGAGAAGACCCUAUGGAGCUUAAAACAAUUGUGUGUUUUUGGUUGGGGUGACCGCGGAGAAAAACUUAUCCUCCAAAAUGAAAUACAAGUUACAACUUUAAGUAUCAAAAAAUUGACAUUCUGACCCAAUAAAUUGAUCAAUGAACUAAGUUACCCUAGGGAUAACAGCACAAUCCACCUUGAGAGCUCCUAUCGACAGGUGGGCUUAUGACCUCGAUGUUGGAUUAGGGCAU
rnacentral:rRNA from 1 species